rnacentral:misc_RNA from 1 species
GCAGACAGACACGGCUUCACCAAAAUCAACAUUUUGUAUGAAAAAGAAAAGAAAAAAGAGAGUUAGGGAAAAACGAUGAUUAACACGGAAAAUGGGUACAAAUAGCAAAUAAUGUGAAAGUUCACGGAGGGCACCAUUGCAAAAUCCAUUAUUUCAAUUUUCAGGAGAGAUUCCCUGGUGGGUCAGUCACGGGCUCAUCGAGCAGCAGCCACUCAGAUCUCGCCCUCCAUCAUUUCUCACGCGAAGAAGGAAAAAGAAAUGGCAUUCCUACUCAAUAAUUCCACAAUUUCUUCGCAUUUUCGAGCUCAUUCUCAAAAGAAUCAGGACGCGCUUUCUCUUUCUCGCCGUGGAUUCCACGUCGAACCUGGGCCUCGCGAGAAAGCUCUCUUGGCAGAGGACCCAGCUCUUAAGCGAUUCAAGUCACAUAAGAAGGGUGUGCGGAGACUCAAAAGAGUUGGAGAUGUUCUCACAAUUGUGGUUGUAGCAGGUAUACUGGUGUCUCUGCUUUAAGUUGAAGAAAUUUUGUUAUUAGUAUUCUCACAUCUUCUUACUGUAUCAGGAUCUUGUUUUCUCAUUAGCUGAACCUCAGAAAUUAGUUAUUUGGGUUCUCAUAGGCACAGCAAGAAAAUGAUCCCCUUAGGAAAUAAAUUCAGUGGUUUGGAGAAUAGGAAAUUGGAGUUGUAGGUAUCCAACAGCACUGCACGUAAAUCUCCCCGUUGAAUGGAUUGUCAAUUCUGCAAGGAAAAUGUUUAAUCCAAAUUAGUUGUCGUAAAUUAAUGUGAGCUUUCAAGGUAUUCCUAGGCUAUAGAGAAGCAGAAAGUUGCUAAUGCUAAGUUCUUCCAAGCAGAAAACUUGGCUUCCUUCCCAACAAAUUUAAAAUGUCAAAAACCAUUAAGGAUGCAUUUUGAAAUCAUUUUGAUAAAAUUUGGUUCAUGAUAUUUGAGUGGAAGGUUGGAUUUGGUGGGUUCACGUGUGCUUUUGAUGCCUAAUGAAGCAUGUCCUUUUCCUUAUCCACUGUUAUGCUUGCACCUGGGCUCUAGGACCCCUCUGCGCUUUAAUGUGUUUUUUACCUUUAGUAUGCCCUGUAGUGAUCACUGAUCAGUAACAAGCAAAAAGAUUGGCCUGCCCGCUGAAGUAGGAAUCACAAGAGGAAGUUAUACAUUUUCUCAUCUUUAGGUGUUUGCAUAUACUUUGACUCAUUGCAUACAUUUGCUCCAUAUGCUUCAUUUAAGGAUAACAUUUUUUCACAUUGGAAGCUGAUUUAUUCACAUUUGCUCAAUAUGAAAACCUUUCCUGCUUGUGAAAUUGAUUAGAACAACUACAGGAACAGCUAUUAGCAACAUCGCAAGCUUUUCUUUUCUCAAAUAUUUUGCAUACCAUUGAUGGCCAAUAUGCUAAAUUAACGGCUUGUGUGACUUGUAACAUUGUCUCUAUUACUUUUGACCUGUUCUUGAGGUUUAUAAAAAUUUGAAGCAUGAUAUUACUUAACAGAGCAUGUGAUUGAUGUGAUUACUUAAAUAGGAAUAGAGAAUGUCUAUAUACUAUAGAUUUUCACCAGAUAUUGCUGUCAUCUUUUUUUUUUUCAUUAUUAUGCCAGUACUCUUAUAUUGUGUCUCUUUCUCAGGCUGUUGCUAUGAAAUUUAUGUCAAAGCAGUAAUGCGGGAGGAGGCUCGAAAAAAAGCGGGGGAAAGUGCAUGAGUAUUCAAUCCGGUGUUCCAUUUUAUUGCUGAUGACAACAUUAGACCUUUAAUAAUUUUAUCUCCGUGUUAAAUAAGCAGAACAGCCAGUUUUGUUUUAAUCAAAUGCUUGCUCGCAUAAGUUGCUGCUUUCAUGUUUUCUAAUAGAAUUUAAUCUUGACUAAAAUUUAUGUUUGAUAAAUAUUAUGACAUAAUGUAUGCAUAUAUACAGAAGAUUACAGCAGGUACAUAUUAAUUUUUGUGCUUUUGGGCCUCUACUAAAGAAAUGGGGAUGGAAAUCCAUUGAUCUGUAAAUUUUUCCCCUUAUGAUCCUUAAAGAUUUGGUCGUUUUGGACACAUCAUUCGCAUCUGGUAUCAUCCCAAAUGCAUGCACACCGAUUGAAGAACUCCAGUUGGGGCCUUCUCAAUGAAGAUGUGUUUCGAGAUGGUGCAUGUGAUAUUGUUUUGGUUGGUGGACGUAUUCAACACUCAUAAGGUAAACCGGAGAAUUAGUUCAUACGAUGUUAAUUUGACUUUUAAUGCUUUGUUCUUUCCAUUGUACAACCACCCAAGGAGAUGGGUUUUAUAUGUAUAUAAUACAUAAAAUAGUUUGAUGAAGCAUGGUGACCCAGUCUUCGAGAUAGCAAUUCAACCUUGGCCCCAUUGCCAGUCCUAUUGUCUAGUCUUGUGGUCUCCUUAAAUUAAAGAAGCUGGAGGCUUCAAAAAUGCAUGUUGAGAAAUCUUGAAAAUCAAAUAAGAUGUCUGUGAAAGUUUUCAAAGGUUUGGUUGUCAUAUGUGAGAGUGAGAC